rnacentral:sRNA from 1 species
UUUCCGUAGGUGAACCUGCGGAAGGAUCAUUACCGAGUGAGGGCCCUCUGGGUCCAACCUCCCACCCGUGUCUAUUGUACCUUGUUGCUUCGGCGGGCCCGCCGUUUCGACGGCCGCCGGGGAGGCCCUCGCGCCCCCGGGCCCGCGCCCGCCGAAGACCCCAACAUGAACACUGUUCUGAAAGUAUGCAGUCUGAGUUUGAUUAUCAUAAUCAGUUAAAACUUUCAACAACGGAUCUCUUGGUUCCGGCAUCGAUGAAGAACGCAGCGAAAUGCGAUAAGUAAUGUGAAUUGCAGAAUUCAGUGAAUCAUCGAGUCUUUGAACGCACAUUGCGCCCCCUGGUAUUCCGGGGGGCAUGCCUGUCCGAGCGUCAUUGCUGCCCUCAAGCACGGCUUGUGUGUUGGGCCCCCGUCCCCGGUUCUCCCCGGGGACGGGCCCGAAAGGCAGCGGCGGCACCGCGUCCGGUCCUCGAGCGUAUGGGGCUUUGUCACCCGCUCUGUAGGCACUGGCCGGCGCCAGCCGACACCCCCAACUUUAUUUUCUAAGGUUGACCUCGGAUCAGGUAGGGAUACCCGCUGAACUUAA